rnacentral:piRNA from 1 species
UCCAAGUGGCGUUCUCUCCGACCCCUAGC